rnacentral:tRNA from 1 species
GGAACUGUGCCCGAAUACUUAAGGACUACUUUGAUAGAGUAAACUACAGGGGUUAAAAUCCCCUCUAUUCCU